UACGGGGGGAGCAAGCGUUGUUCGGAUUUAUUGGGCGUAAAGGGCGCGUAGGCGGCCACCGCAAGUCAGUUGUGAAAUCUCUGGGCUUAACCCAGAAAGGUCAACUGAUACUGCGGGGCUAGAGUGCAGAAGGGGCAACUGGAAUUCUCGGUGUAGCGGUGAAAUGCGUAGAUAUCGAGAGGAACACCUGCGGCGAAGGCGGGUUGCUGGGCUGACACUGACGCUGAGGCGCGAAAGCGUGGGGAGCAAACAGG
rnacentral:rRNA from 1 species